UACAGAGGGUGCGAGCGUUAAUCGGAAUUACUGGGCGUAAAGCGCGCGUAGGCGGUUUUGUAAGUCGGGUGUGAAAUCCCCAAGCUUAACUUGGGAACUGCAUUCGAGACUGCAUAGCUAGAGUAUGGGAGAGAGAAGUGGAAUUUCCGGUGUAGCGGUGAAAUGCGUAGAUAUCGGAAGGAACAUCAGUGGCGAAAGCGACUUCUUGGACCAAUACUGACGCUCAAGUGCGAAAGCGUGGGGAGCAAAC
rnacentral:rRNA from 1 species